rnacentral:rRNA from 1 species
UACGGAAGGUCCGGGCGUUGUCCGGAAUUACUGGGUGUAAAGGGAGCGCAGGCGGGAAGACAAGUUGGGAGUGAAAUCUAUGGGCUCAACCCAUAAACUGCUUUCAAAACUGUUUUUCUUGAGUAGUGCAGAGGUAGGCGGAAUUCCCGGUGUAGCGGUGGAAUGCGUAGAUAUCGGGAGGAACACCAGUGGCGAAGGCGGCCUACUGGGCACCAACUGACGCUGAGGCUCGAAAGUGUGGGUAGCAAACAGG